rnacentral:rRNA from 1 species
GACGAACGCUGGCGGCGUGCUUAACACAUGCAAGUCGAACGGAAAGGCCCUGCUUUUGUGGGGUGCUCGAGUGGCGAACGGGUGAGUAACACGUGAGUAACCUGCCCUUGACUUUGGGAUAACUUCAGGAAACUGGGGCUAAUACCGGAUAGGAGCUCCUGCUGCAUGGUGGGGGUUGGAAAGUUUCGGCGGUUGGGGAUGGACUCGCGGCUUAUCAGCUUGUUGGUGGGGUAGUGGCUUACCAAGGCUUUGACGGGUAGCCGGCCUGAGAGGGUGACCGGCCACAGUGGGACUGAGAGACGGCCCAGACUCCUACGGGAGGCAGCAGUGGGGAAUAUUGCACAAUGGGCGGAAGCCUGAUGCAGCAACGCCGCGUGCGGGAUGACGGCCUGCGGGUUGUAAACCGCUUUCGCCUGUGACGAAGCGUGAGUGACGGUAAUUGAUAAAGAAGCACCGGCUAACUACGUG